rnacentral:lncRNA from 1 species
AUCAUCUCUUUAUAAUGGCUUCAUUCAUCUUUCUACCACAAACAGUCAAAGAGAAAUCAAGAAGGCAGGCUCAAGUACAUUUCAGGUUUUCUCCCCCGGUUGAGCUCUGAGGUCCGAAUAAUAUAGAGUUUAGAGUCAUUGUUGCUGGUAAACUCCAGAUAGUUGAACAUUGUUCACUGGAAAAAAACUGCAAAAGACAAAAACUACUUUCUAAGUAUCUUUUGACCUGUAUUUGGUCAACAAGUACUCCCAGGAGAUAAGCAGAAUGCUUUAAAAUAUAUACAGAC